rnacentral:rRNA from 1 species
AAAAACGACCAAACCUCCCUGAAUGCACCGAUCUCGUCACAUUUCAGAAGCUAAGCAGGUUUGAGCCUGGUUAGUACUGAGGUAGGAAUCCUAUGUGGUCUA